rnacentral:rRNA from 1 species
UACGUAGGGGGCGAGCGUUGUCCGGAGUUACUGGGCGUAAAGCGCACGCAGGCGGUCUGGUAAGUUUGGAGUGACAGUGCCCGGCUCAACUGGGCAAGGCCUCUGAAGACUGCUGGACUUGAGGACCAGAGAGGGACAUAGAAUUCCGGGUGGAGUGGUGAAAUUCAUAGAUAUCCGGAGGAAUACCAAAGGCGAAGGCAGUGUCCUGGCUGGUAACUGACGCUCAGGUGCGAAAGCUAGGGGAGCGAACAGG